AACCAACAGGGAUUGCCUCAGUAGCGGCGAGUGAAGCGGCAAGAGCUCAGAUUUGAAAUCGUGCUUUGCGGCACGAGUUGUAGAUUGCAGGUUGGAGUCUGUGUGGAAGGCGGUGUCCAAGUCCCUUGGAACAGGGCGCCCAGGAGGGUGAGAGCCCCGUGGGAUGCCGGCGGAAGCAGUGAGGCCCUUCUGACGAGUCGAGUUGUUUGGGAAUGCAGCUCCAAGCGGGUGGUAAAUUCCAUCUAAGGCUAAAUACUGGCGAGAGACCGAUAGCGAACAAGUACUGUGAAGGAAAGAUGAAAAGCACUUUGAAAAGAGAGUGAAACAGCACGUGAAAUUGUUGAAAGGGAAGGGUAUUGCGCCCGACAUGGGGAUUGCGCACCGCUGCCUCUCGUGGGCGGCGCUCUGGGCUUUCCCUGGGCCAGCAUCGGUUCUUGCUGCAGGAGAAGGGGUUCUGGAACGUGGCUCUUCGGAGUGUUAUAGCCAGGGCCAGAUGCUGCGUGCGGGGACCGAGGACUGCGGCC
rnacentral:rRNA from 1 species